rnacentral:rRNA from 1 species
UACGUAGGGUGCAAGCGUUAAUCGGAAUUACUGGGCGUAAAGCGUGCGCAGGCGGUUGUGCAAGACCGAUGUGAAAUCCCCGGGCUUAACCUGGGAAUGGCAUUGGUGACUGCACGGCUAGAGUGUGUCAGAGGGGGGUAGAAUUCCACGUGUAGCAGUGAAAUGCGUAGAGAUGUGGAGGAACACCGAUGGCGAAGGCAGCCCCCCUGGGAUAACACUGACGCUCAUGCACGAAAGCGUGGGGAGCAAACAGG